CUGCGGAGGWAUUAUCGUAAAACCGAGGUGCGAGGGCUGUCGCUGACCUUGUCGUGCACGCCCAGCGCUCUCACACAUCCAUCUCACCCCUUGUGCACCACCGCGUGGGUUCUUUCUGAARGGGGCUCGCGUUUUCACACAAACUGAGKGUAGAAUGUCCUUUUUGCGAUAACACGCAUGAAUACAACUUUCAACAACGGAUCUCUUGGCUCUCGCAUCGAUGAASAAMGCAGCGAAAUGCGAUACRUAAUGUGAAUUGCAGAAUUCAGUGAAUCAUCGAAUCUUUGAACGCACCUUGCGCCCCUUGGCAUUCCGAGGGGCACACCCGUUUGAGUGUCGUGAAAUUCUCAACCAUUUCUUUUGGGAAAGGAUUGGACUUGGAGGCUUUUGCUGGUUUACCUUGAAGCGAGCUCCUCCCAAAUGUAUUAGUGGGGUCUGCAUUGUCGGUCCUUGGSGUGAUAAGUUUUUUUACGUCUUUGGUUUGGCGCUGUCCUGCUUCUAACCGUCUCAUUGACAACGAUGGUUCGCCUGACCCACCUUGACCUCAAUCGGGUGAGACUACCCGCUGAUAAGCAUAUCA
rnacentral:rRNA from 1 species